rnacentral:misc_RNA from 1 species
GAUGAAGAACGCAGCGAAAUGCGAUAAGUAAUGUGAAUUGCAGAAUUCAGUGAAUCAUCGAAUCUUUGAACGCACAUUGCGCCCCUUGGUAUUCCGAGGGGCAUGCCUGCUCGAGCGUCAUUAUAACCCCUCAAGCUCAGCUUGGUGUUGGGGCCUGCUGCACUGGCAGCCCUUAAAAUCAGUGGCGGCGCCAUCUGGCUCUAAGCGUAGUAAUUCUUCUCGCUAUGGAGUCCUGGUGGAUGCUUGCCAUCAACCCCCAAUUUUUCUAUGGUUGACCUCGGAUCAGGUAGGGAUACCCGCUGAACUUAAGCAUAUCAAUAAGCGGAGGA